GGUCCGCUGGCUCAAUGGCAGAGCGUCUGACUACGACAUGACUCCUCAUUCUGGGAUUAACAUCCCCAGGAAAGGAUCGAGUAAUCAGGAGGUUCCAGGUUCGACCCCUGGGUGGAUCG